ensembl:lncRNA
AUAACGUUGACUGAAUAGGUGUUUGCUGACAGACAUUGACCUGCAGCCUAAAUAAUCACAUGAAGGAGAAGAAAACCUCCAGGAGUAGUCAGCAUGGCAAGUCGCACCUGACUGAACAGAUAAGCUUCUAUAAGGAAUUCACCAGCCUGAUGGAUGAAGGAGGAGCAGAGGACCUUGUCUUCCCAGUCUUCCUUAAGGCCUUUGACACUGAUCCCCAUAAGGUCCUAGGGCUGAGGAGUCAUGAUGGACAUCAAGAUGAACUUGAGGCAGCAAUGUGCCCUUGCUACUAAGAAGGCUCAUGGUAUUCUUGGCUGAAUUAAGAGCAUGGAUUGAAGUCAGGUACCCCUUCUCCCCCUUGAGAAAGGAGCCAACAGAAGAAUCAAGAGAAAUGAAAGAGUAAAAGAGGUGGCUGCAAGUGAUACAAUGAGUACCAUAGAGACGACUGCAAAGCUGCUUGGGGUCCUGCUCAACUCUCUAUCAAAACCUGUGCAACUCUGUCCACUCUGGGGGAGCUUAGCAAAUGGAAAUGACCACGUGUUUUUAACCAAUAAUCUACAAUAAUCACCAAUAAUCUACACAAAUAAAACUAUUAUUAUUAUUAUUAUUAUUAUUAUUAUUAUUACAAAAAGGGAAACAAGCAAGUGAAGAAGGGGGAAAAAUAAAAUGUAUAAAGCGAGCUUCCACUUAGAGGUUUCAACCUAUGGGUUACAACCUAUGGCUUAAAGAGUUUUUAAUGGGUUGUUUCUUUGUCCUCACAGAACUCAGCGUGUCUAGAAACACAUUUUUUUGCAGCAG